rnacentral:misc_RNA from 1 species
GGGUUUCUGGCAGGGCGAGCGGCGCUCACAAGGGCCGGAAGCACGCAGAGGGCAAGCAGCAACAAUGAUCUAGCCAUUGGGCUUUAGGGAUCAGAGAAUUACAGAGAAUUGUGCUUAGAUAAAUAAAGAGUGAGAUCAGAGAUGAAGAUUGAAACCAAAUGGAGCGAAGGAAAUAGAAAAUGAUGAAAAGUUAUAAGCAGCAACAGCA